UGAGGCAGGUCAGUUUAGCCUGCGGGGUUCGGCUGCUAGUUUGCUGUGCUAGAAGGAGGCUGAAAGAGCUAAGCUAAUGAGAAACGGUGAUAAUAUGUGCGGAUGCAGAGUCUACUUUAUUGCUUUGGACUGUUUAACCUCCGGUGGACCGAGAGGAAUUCUCUGGACUGUUCUGACGUUGACUGAAUGGUCGAGUUUUACCAGAGUUCUCCAUGUAGCCGGCGCUGUGAAGCACCUUUCAACUCAGCUGUCCAGUGGUACCCGCUUGGUCACACACAAGGCCUCAUCUAUGGAAGAGGAUAAAACGCUGCCUUCACUUCUCCUGCCAGCAGCUCAGGCAUAACGGAGAAGCAGAGACGGAAAGAAAAAGCUGAAAAAGACCGGAGAAAAGACGGACAGCAGUGGGAGGGGGUCUGGAAGCGGUACGCAUGGCUGGAGCAAAGCAGCAAGCACUCGUCCAAGCAAACUAGCGGGAGCCAUCGAUCCUUUUCUCUUUUUUUUUUGUGAGUAUUUUCAACCUGUUGUCUCCCGUCGCUCUGUAAGGCCGGUGUUUUGAGAGCCCGCCUGAGACGAAGGGCAGCUCAUGAGUUUCAUCCCUUUUUAUUUCCAUUUCUUUCUUC